rnacentral:rRNA from 1 species
UGGGGAAUAUUGGGCAAUGGGCGAAAGCCUGACCCAGCGACGCCGCGUGGGUGAUGAAGGCCUUCGGGUUGUAAAGCCCUGUCAUGCGGAAAGAACGACCCUGCGACGCAUACUCACAGGGAGUGACGGUACCGCAGGAGGAAGCACCGGCUAACUCCGUGCCAGCAGCCGCGGUAAUACGGAGGGUGCAAGCGUUGUUCGGGAUUAUUGGGCGUAAAGGGCGCGUAGGCGGUAAUGUAAGUCAGAUGUGAAAUACUCCGGCUCAACCAGAGAACAGCAUCUGAAACUGCAUAACUAGAGUACAGAAGAGGGAAACGGAAUUCCCGGUGUAGAGGUGAAAUUCGUAGAUAUCGGGGGGAACACCAGUGGCGAAGGCGGUUUCCUGGUCUGAUACUGACGCUGAGGCGCGAAAGCGUGGGGAGCAAACAG